rnacentral:rRNA from 1 species
CGAAUGGGGAAACCCAGUGUGAUUCGUCACACUAUCAUUAACUGAAUCCAUAGGUUAAUGAGGCGAACCGGGGGAACUGAAACAUCUAAGUACCCCGAGGAAAAGAAAUCAACCGAGAUUCCCCCAGUAGCGGCGAGCGAACGGGGAGGAGCCCAGAGCCUGAAUCAGCAUGUGUGUUAGUGGAAGCGUCUGGAAAGGCGCGCGAUACAGGGUGACAGCCCCGUACACAAAAGCGCAUGUGCUGUGAGCUCGAUGAGUAGGGCGGGACACGUGGUAUCCUGUCUGAAUAUGGGGGGACCAUCCUCCAAGGCUAAAUACUCCUGACUGACCGAUAGUGAACCAGUACCGUGAGGGAAAGGCGAAAAGAACCCCGGCGAGGGGAGUGAAAAAGAACCUGAAACCGUGUACGUACAAGCAGUGGGAGCACCCUUCGGGGUGUGACUGCGUACCUUUUGUAUAAUGGGUCAGCGACUUAUAUUCUGUAGCAAGGUUAACCGUAUAGGGGAGCCGGAGGGAAACCGAGUCUUAAUUGGGCGUUAAGUUGCAGGGUAUAGACCCGAAACCCGGUGAUCUAGCCAUGGGCAGGUUGAAGGUUGGGUAACACUAACUGGAGGACCGAACCGACUAAUGUUGAAAAAUUAGCGGAUGACCUGUGGCUGGGGGUGAAAGGCCAAUCAAACCGGGAGAUAGCUGGUUCUCCCCGAAAGCUAUUUAGGUAGCGCCUCGUGAAUUCAUCUCCGGGGGUAGAGCACUGUUUCGGCUAGGGGGCCAUCCCGGCUUACCAACCCGAUGCAAACUGCGAAUACCGGAGAAUGUUAUCACGGGAGACACACGGCGGGUGCUAACGUCCGUCGUGAAGAGGGAAACAACCCAGACCGCCAGCUAAGGUCCCAAAGUCAUGGUUAAGUGGGAAACGAUGUGGGAAGGCCCAGACAGCCAGGAUGUUGGCUUAGAAGCAGCCAUCAUUUAAAGAAAGCGUAAUAGCUCACUGGUCGAGUCGGCCUGCGCGGAAGAUGUAACGGGGCUAAACCAUGCACCGAAGCUGCGGCAGCGAACGUAUCACCCAAGACAACUUUACGGAGUUGACGAUUGACGGAGCGAAGCGACGUCAAAGCGUUCAUUAAAGUCGAGUUGGCUUAGGGAUACGUUCGUUGGGUAGGGGAGCGUUCUGUAAGCCUGUGAAGGUGUGUCGUGAGGCAUGCUGGAGGUAUCAGAAGUGCGAAUGCUGACAUAAGUAACGAUAAAGCGGGUGAAAAGCCCGCUCGCCGGAAGACCAAGGGUUCCUGUCCAACGUUAAUCGGGGCAGGGUGAGUCGACCCCUAAGGCGAGGCCGAAAGGCGUAGUCGAUGGGAAACGGGUUAAUAUUCCCGUACUUGGUGUUACUGCGAAGGGGGGACGGAGAAGGCUAUGUUGGCCGGGCGACGGUUGUCCCGGUUUAAGCGUGUAGGUGUGUGUUCCAGGUAAAUCCGGUUCACUUUAACACUGAGGCGUGACGACGAGGCACUACGGUGCUGAAGCAACAAAUGCCCUGCUUCCAGGAAAAGCCUCUAAGCAUCAGGUAACACGAAAUCGUACCCCAAACCGACACAGGUGGUCAGGUAGAGAAUACCAAGGCGCUUGAGAGAACUCGGGUGAAGGAACUAGGCAAAAUGGUGCCGUAACUUCGGGAGAAGGCACGCUGACACGUAGGUGAAGUGAUUUACUCAUGGAGCUGAAGUCAGUCGAAGAUACCAGCUGGCUGCAACUGUUUAUUAAAAACACAGCACUGUGCAAACACGAAAGUGGACGUAUACGGUGUGACGCCUGCCCGGUGCCGGAAGGUUAAUUGAUGGGGUCAGCGUAAGCGAAGCUCCUGAUCGAAGCCCCGGUAAACGGCGGCCGUAACUAUAACGGUCCUAAGGUAGCGAAAUUCCUUGUCGGGUAAGUUCCGACCUGCACGAAUGGCGUAAUGAUGGCCAGGCUGUCUCCACCCGAGACUCAGUGAAAUUGAACUCGCUGUGAAGAUGCAGUGUACCCGCGGCAAGACGGAAAGACCCCGUGAACCUUUACUAUAGCUUGACACUGAACAUUGAGCCUUGAUGUGUAGGAUAGGUGGGAGGCUUUGAAGUGUGGACGCCAGUCUGCAUGGAGCCGACCUUGAAAUACCACCCUUUAAUGUUUGAUGUUCUAACGUGGACCCGUAAUCCGGGUUGCGGACAGUGUCUGGUGGGUAGUUUGACUGGGGCGGUCUCCUCCUAAAGAGUAACGGAGGAGCACGAAGGUUGGCUAAUCCUGGUCGGACAUCAGGAGGUUAGUGCAAUGGCAUAAGCCAGCUUGACUGCGAGCGUGACGGCGCGAGCAGGUGCGAAAGCAGGUCAUAGUGAUCCGGUGGUUCUGAAUGGAAGGGCCAUCGCUCAACGGAUAAAAGGUACUCCGGGGAUAACAGGCUGAUACCGCCCAAGAGUUCAUAUCGACGGCGGUGUUUGGCACCUCGAUGUCGGCUCAUCACAUCCUGGGGCUGAAGUAGGUCCCAAGGGUAUGGCUGUUCGCCAUUUAAAGUGGUACGCGAGCUGGGUUUAGAACGUCGUGAGACAGUUCGGUCCCUAUCUGCCGUGGGCGCUGGAGAACUGAGGGGGGCUGCUCCUAGUACGAGAGGACCGGAGUGGACGCAUCACUGGUGUUCGGGUUGUCAUGCCAAUGGCACUGCCCGGUAGCUAAAUGCGGAAGAGAUAAGUGCUGAAAGCAUCUAAGCACGAAACUUGCCCCGAGAUGAGUUCUCCCUGAGACUUAGAGUCUCCUGAAGGAACGUUGAAGACGACGACGUUGAUAGGCCGGGUGUGUAAGCGCAGCGAUGCGUUGAGCUAACCGGUACUAAUGAACCGUGAGGCUUAACCUU